rnacentral:rRNA from 1 species
GACGUAGGGCGCGAGCGUUGUCCGGAUUUAUUGGGCGUAAAGAGCUCGUAGGCGGCUUGUCGCGUCGACUGUGAAAUCCCGCGGCUCAACCGCGGGUCUGCAGUCGAUACGGGCAGGCUAGAGUUCGGUAGGGGGAGACUGGAAUUCCUGGUGUAGCGGUGAAAUGCGCAGAGUAUCAGGAGGAACGACCGAUGGCGAAGGCAGGUCUCUGGGCCGGAUACUGACGCUGAGGAGCGAAAGCGUGGGGAGCGAACAGG